GACGAACGCUGGCGGCGUGCUUAACACAUGCAAGUCGAACGCUGAAGACCUGGCUUUUGUUGGGUUGGAUGAGUGGCGAACGGGUGAGUAACACGUGAGUAACCUGCCCUCUUCUUUGGGAUAACGCCCGGAAACGGGUGCUAAUACUGGAUAUUCACUGAUCUUCGCAUGGGGGUUGGUGGAAAGGUUUGUUCUGGUGGGGGAUGGGCUCGCGGCCUAUCAGCUUGUUGGUGGGGUGAUGGCCUACCAAGGCUUUGACGGGUAGCCGGCCUGAGAGGGUGACCGUGGACAUGAGGACUGGUACACGGUCCAGAGGGAGGCGGGAGGCGGCAGUGGUGAACAUAGCGCGAAAGGCGGAAGCAGGAUGCAGCGGCGGGGCGUGAAGGAUGGAGGCUUUCGGAUUGUUAAUCUCUUGCGCGAAUGGUAAAGCCUCAACUGUGGGUUGUGGUGAGGGUAGUGGGUAAAGAAGCGCCGGCUAACUACGUG
rnacentral:rRNA from 1 species